CCCUUAGAUGUUCUGGGCGGCCCGCGCACUACAAUGGCGUGUGCAGCGAGUGCCGAAGUAGAGUUUUCCGAGGUAUUCUUGCAAUGCUCGUUUUGAUGGGGAUAGACCCUUGCAACUGUUGGUUUUGAACGAGGAAUUCCUUGUAAGCAUGGUUUAUCAUCCGACGCUGAAUGCGUCCCUGCCCUUUGUACACACCGCCCGACGCUCCUACCGAUGAGUCGUCCGGUGAAGUUCGUAGACCUCGUGAUCGCGGAUCACUGGGGGAAGCAAAAUGAACCUCGCGGUUUAGAGGAAGGAGAAGUCGUAACA
rnacentral:rRNA from 1 species